AAUGUAACCAAGUGAUUUGGAUGUCGCGGAAUUCGAAGUAACUUUGCCAGUGCAUAUGUUCCAGCUUUGAAUUCAUUGCUGUAAACUAAUAGGUUGUCAAGUGGAUUCUUUGACCUGAGCUGAGGUACCUUUGCUUCUUCUUUCAUUUUCAGUUUCAUUUCUUUCACAUUUUAUUGCAUAUCCAACCAACCAUUCAAGCUGAUCCAAGGGCUUAUUUAAAAUUGGAGAUUUAACAUCCUCACAGUAUUUGGCAAAAAUUUUAG